GGGUUGUGAGGUUAAGCGACUAAGCGUACACGGUGGAUGCCCUGGCAGUCAGAGGCGAUGAAGGACGUGCUAAUCUGCGAUAAGCGUCGGUAAGGUGAUAUGAACCGUUAUAACCGGCGAUUUCCGAAUGGGGAAACCCAGUGUGAUUCGUCACACUAUCAUUAACUGAAUCCAUAGGUUAAUGAGGCGAACCGGGGGAACUGAAACAUCUAAGUACCCCGAGGAAAAGAAAUCAACCGAGAUUCCCCCAGUAGCGGCGAGCGAACGGGGAGCAGCCCAGAGCCUGAAUCAGUGUGUGUGUUAGUGGAAGCGUCUGGAAAGGCGCGCGAUACAGGGUGACAGCCCCGUACACAAAAAUGCACAUGCUGUGAGCUCGAUGAGUAGGGCGGGACACGUGGUAUCCUGUCUGAAUAUGGGGGGA
rnacentral:rRNA from 1 species